UGCAAGUCGAACGCGAAAGUUUCUUCGGAAAUGAGUAGAGUGGCGCACGGGUGAGUAACGCGUGGAUUAUCUACCUAUUGGUACGGGACAACAGUUGGAAACGACUGCUAAUACCGUAUAAGCUGGUAACGGGAAAGGGGGCCUCUUCUUGAGAGCUCUCGCCAGUAGAUGAGUCCGCGUUUCAUUAGCUAGACGGUGGGGUAACGGCCUACCGUGGCAACGAUGAAUAGCAGGCCUGAGAGGGUGGCCUGCCACACUGGGACUGGAACACGGCCCAGACUCCUACGGGAGGCAGCAGUGGGGAAUAUUGCGCAAUGGACGAAAGUCUGACGCAGCGACGCCGCGUGGAGGAUGAAGGUUUUCGGAUCGUAAACUCCUGUCAAGAGGGAAGAAACCUAUCAAAAAUAAUACUUUUGGUAAUUGACGGUACCUCUAGAGGAAGCACCGACUAAUUCAGUGCCAGCAGCCGCGGUAAUACUGAAGGUGCAAGCGUUAAUCGGAAUCACUGGGCGUAAAGCGCU
rnacentral:rRNA from 1 species